rnacentral:rRNA from 1 species
UACGAAGGGGGCUAGCGUUGCUCGGAAUCACUGGGCGUAAAGGGUGCGUAGGCGGGUUUUUAAGUCAGGGGUGAAAUCCUGGAGCUCAACUCCAGAACCGCCUUUGAUACUGAAGAUCUUGAGUUCGGGAGAGGUGAGUGGAACUGCGAGUGUAGAGGUGAAAUUCGUAGAUAUUCGCAAGAACACCAGUGGCGAAGGCGGCUCACUGGCCCGAUACUGACGCUGAGGCACGAAAGCGUGGGGAGCAAACAGG